UACGUAGGCAGCAAGCGUUGUUCGGAAUUACUGGGCGUAAAGAGUGUGUAGGCGGUGCCCUAAGUUUGGUGUGAAAUCUCCCGGCUCAACUGGGAGCCUGCAUUGAAGACUGGGGUGCUCGAGGGUGGGAGAGGCAAGCGGAAUUCCUGGUGUAGCGGUGAAAUGCGUAGAUAUCAGGAGGAACACCUGUGGUGUAGACAGCUUGCUGGACCAUUUCUGACGCUGAGACACGAAAGCGUGGGUAGCAAACAGG
rnacentral:rRNA from 1 species